rnacentral:rRNA from 1 species
UACCAGCUCUCCGAGUGGUAGGGAUGAUUAUUGGGCUUAAAGCGUCCGUAGCCGGCUUAGCAAGUCUCCUGUUAAAUUCAGCGACCUAAUCGUUGAGCCGCGGGAGAUACUACUAGGCUAGGAGGCGGGAGAGGUCAACGGUACUUCCGGGGUAGGGGUGAAAUCCUAUAAUCCCGGGAGGACCACCAGUGGCGAAGGCUGUUGACUAGAACGCGCUCGACGGUGAGGGACGAAAGCUGGGGGAGCGAACCGGAUUAGAUACCCGGGUAGUCCCAGCUGUAAACGAUGCGAGCUAGGUGUUGGGGUGGCUACGUGCCACUUCAGUGCCGCAGGGAAGCCAUUAAGCUCGCCGCCUGGGGAGUACGGCCGCAAGGCUGAAACUUAAAGGAAUUGGCGGGGAGCACCACAAGGCGUGAAGCUUGCGGUUC